CAAGCGUUGUCCGGAUUUAUGGGGCGUAAAAGGCUUGUAGGUGGCCACGCCAAGUCGGAUGUGAAAUCUCCCGGCUCAACUGGGAGGGGUCAUUCGAUACUGGUGGGCUCGAGGCCGGUAGGGGGAAGCGGAAUUCCCGGUGUAGUGGUGGAAUGCGUAGAUAUCGGGAGGAACACCAGUGGCGAAGGCGGCUCACUGGACCGGAACUGACGCUGAGGCGCGAAAGCGUGGGGAGCAAACGGG
rnacentral:rRNA from 1 species